rnacentral:rRNA from 1 species
AUGCCCACGCACGGAGGCGGCUGUGCGGGAUCUCGACGCGGUGUCACCAUGGCGAAGCAAGAAAAGACGAUUGCUGACAGAGAUGACCCUGGUGAAGCUAUGAGAAAAAAGUUCGAUGGCAUGCGCGAAAAAUUGAAGUCUGCAGCGAAUUCUGAAGAUUGGAAUAGUGUUCUCAGAAUAGAAGAGAAGCUGAGUCUUCCUCCUGAUGGUGAAAGAAAGGAAUACUUCAUGAAAUUGGACCAAGAUCUGCAAAUGAUCGCAGCUUUGCAAGCAAAAGAUUGGCUUGUGAACAAACCGAAGAAGCAGAACUCAGUUCCAUUAUAUGAAAAUCCUGUCCUAAAAUGUUCUGAUUUACAACAGUGGAUUCACAAGCUAUCAGAAGAACAAAUGCCUGUGAGCCUUGCAUUGGGAGAUUUUAAACUUGAUCUGAUUGAGACUUUUUUUAACCCAAGCCAAGAAGGUUCUCUAAGUAAUUUUAUCAGCUACUUGAGUGAUCGGCUGUGUGAUCAUGACCAGAAUUUUACAUUUCGACAUGGAAAAGAAUCAUGUCGCCUAUUGGAAUAUCAGACACCUAAUAAACAGCCACCCAGAUGGAUGUUCAUUAAAAUGAAGAAAGAUAAUGCUCGAGCCGGGAUUUACAUGAGUAGUGAUAACUUAUACCUUUGUGCUUUCAGUAACAAGAAGGGUGAAAUCUUUGAGCUUGUGAAGGAAGAUUGUCUGCGAAUAAUCAAAGGUUCUGUUGCAUUUGGCUGUAGCACAGACUACCCAAGCAUCCUGAACUACGAAAGACCUCGACCGAUUCCAGAAGGUGAUUGUGAAAAGAGGUUAUUGGGCAUAAUUCUAAAUAUGGAGAAUUUUUCACAUGGCAUCGAAGUGCUGUCAAACUAUGACCACAGUAUUCUAUCAAACCAUGAUGUGAGUGAGGCUGAAAAACAACGACUCAUUCAAGAAGUGCAAGAGGCAUUAGCACGGAAUGCAGUGGUUUUAGCUGAAGUUUCACUUAUCGUUAAUCUAUUCAUAUCUGUCAAUGAGAACUGGAAGGAGAGUCGUUCAAGCCUGACAAAACUCUUGUAUGAGUAUAUGAUGCAUUGGAAGGUAAUGUCAAAUAAGGUCCACAAUGGUCCUAUUGAUUCUAAGUUUGAGGACAACUUAGUGGCUAAAAUCUUGUUGCGAUUCAGACAUGAAGCAAUUAAAGUGCAUAAUCUGGUUUGCAACGUGAAGGGUCCUGGAAUUAUUAAGAACGGACCCGGACCCAUGGCACCUGGUGACGAUGGCAAAGGAUCAAAGGAGCCUGGACCAUCUGGUGGUGAUGACAAAGAGCAAAAGACAUCGGAUCUAGCUCUGGACUGUCUGGACAUGGUAAUGACAAAGAAACAAACACACCUGGAUCUGGACCAUUUGAUAGUUGUGAUGACAACCUGGAAGGUCGCCGUGAUGGUGGAAAACAGAAGGAAAAUUAUAAUGAUAGCAGGCCAGGGACCAGUGAGAUGA